rnacentral:rRNA from 1 species
GAUGAACGCUGGCGGCGUGCCUAAUACAUGCAAGUCGAGCGAACGGACGAGAAGCUUGCUUCUCUGAUGUUAGCGGCGGACGGGUGAGUAACACGUGGAUAACCUACCUAUAAGACUGGGAUAACUUCGGGAAACCGGAGCUAAUACCGGAGGAUAUUUUGAACCGCAUGGUUCAAAAGUGAAAGACGGUCUUGCUGUCACUUAUAGAUGGAUCCGCGCUGCAUUAGCUAGUUGGUAAGGUAACGGCUUACCAAGGCAACGAUGCAUAGCCGACCUGAGAGGGUGAUCGGCCACACUAGAACUGAGACACGGUCCAGACUCCUACGGGAGGCAGCAGUAGGGAAUCUUCCGCAAUGGGCGAAAGCCUGACGGAGCAACGCCGCGUGAGUGAUGAAGGUCUUCGGAUCGUAAAACUCUGUUAUUAGGGAAGAACAUAUGUGUAAGUAACUGUGCACAUCUUGACGGUACCUAAUCAGAAAGCCACGGCUAACUACGUG